AAAUUUGCAUAGGCUCUGACUACAGACAUUGUUAGUAACACCACAGGGAACCAGCAAUUCCAUCCUACUAAUGAGGACACGGAUGGAUGUGACAAUAGCAACAGCUAUGCCAACAUCAAUGACCACAGCCAAAACUAGAAUGCUCCAAAACUAGAUACUCAGCAGGAUGACAUGGUGACAUAUGCCUCAGUCAAUCUCUCCUCAUCUAGAAGAAACUAGAGAGCCAUCGAGCGACACUGGUGACCACAGAGAUCUCUCUCAACCGUCAACAAAUCUCAGGGAAAGAAAUAAAUUGUCAUGCAUUGUCAACCACUGCAGUGAUGCCAUAUCUUGUCAGUUUUCAUGCUAUCUAACCAUUUAUAUAUUUAUUUGUUUUGCAAAUGAUGCAUUGCUUCUACACUGAUAUACUUUAUCUAUUAUACC